rnacentral:sRNA from 1 species
CUUAGAGAAGAUCGAGACAGGGUCCCUAUCAGAAAAGAUACAAAACUUUUUACCAACAAAAAAAAGCAAGUAGCUAUACUCAGGAAGAACUUCAAGACACUUACGGGUUUCUUCUGUUUGAUACUGAAAAGCAGGCAAAAUUGGUAUGUCAGCGUGGACUCCGUGUUGGCAGCAGUGCUGUUACCACUCUGGGUGAUCCAGCCAAAGGUAAGUCUGUAAAGCAAAAAGAAUCUUAAAAAAAAAAUCUUCUUUUACAAGAUGAAGUGAGGUUUCAUUAGUUUUAUAAGAUAUAUAUAUUAAAAGCCAGUUUCACUAAAUGUCAAACAGUUCAUAAUGUUUAGAUUUCUAACUUUAAACAUAUGAAUGAGAUUUGAGUCUAAAACUUUACAGUAUUUUUCAGUGUCAAGAGAUUGGUAUUGUCUUGAGAAUCUCUUCUAAAUUGUCACAGGGGCAAUAAGAAUAGAAAAUAGAGCUGACCAAACUUGGCAACUAUGGAAUGUGAGGGGUAAGAGAGGAAAUAAUCAAAUAUAAGCUUUUAAACUUACACUACAGUGAUAAUUAUUAAUAGAAAAGAG